AAGGGCACCACAAGAACGCGUGGAGCAUGUGGCUUAAUUUGACUCAACGCGGGAAAUCUUACCGGGUCCGGACACACUGAGGAUUGACAGGUGUUUCGUAGGAUAAUACAUUGUAACUUGUUACUUUGUAUUUAUACUUACAUAUCAAAUAUGCUAGUCCUUUCAUGAUUGUGUGAUAGGUGGUGCAUGGCCGUUCUUAGUUCGUGGAGUGAUCUGUCUGCUUAAUUGCGUUUCACUUAUAGCUUUAGUUUACACUGUAGUAUUUACUUGUGACCUCACUUCGGUUACGCGUCCAGUGUACUUGUGUACUUUAGCUUCGAAGGCAACGAACGUGACCGCUACUUCUUGUUGCCUCCCUUGUAUUAGCUUAACUUUAAUACUUUAUGUAUAUAAGUUGCUUACACACUCUUUUUAUUAAGAGUGCCGUGGAGGGAAACUAGAAGGACCGCUGACAUUUUUUAAACCAGAGUAAGGUGGCGGCAAUAACAGGUCUGUGAUGCCCUUAGAUGUUCCGGGCUGCACACGUGCUACAAUGAUUAUUGCAGUGAGCAUCUUACCCAGUUCGUAGGCGCAGUUGUAGUACUUUACAUUUUUAUGUAUUGUACUCUCUGACGCUUUUUUACGACUAGGCAACUUCGAAAGUAAGUUGCUAAUCAAUUCGAAGUAAUGAUUUCCUUUGCACACUUACAUGUUCUAUAUGUUUAGUUGCAUUACCUUUGCGUAUUGUUUAACUUUCUUAUAGUAACAUGUGCUCCAUUAAUUCGUGGUGGGGACAGACCAUUGUUAAUUGUUGGUCUCGGUCUCAACUAGGAAUGCCUUGUACGGGUCUUUGGUUCAACAGACCACCCGGAAUAUGUCCCUGCCCUUUGUACACACCGCCCGUCGCUCUUACCGAUGAACUAUACUGUGAAUUUAAGGGAUUGAACUCUUUUGUUUAUAAAAACUUAAAUGAACAGUGUGGUUUAAAGGAAAGAGAAGUCGUAACAAGGCAUCGGUAGGUGAACCU
rnacentral:rRNA from 1 species